rnacentral:rRNA from 1 species
UACGUAGGGUCCGAGCGUUGCCCGGAAUUACUGGGCGUAAAGAGCUCGUAGGUGGUUUGUCGCGUUGUUCGUGAAAACUCACAGCUCAACUGUGGGCGUGCGGGCGAUACGGGCAGACUAGAGUACUGCAGGGGAGACUGGAAUUCCUGGUGUAGCGGUGGAAUGCGCAGAUAUCAGGAGGAACACCGGUGGCGAAGGCGGGUCUCUGGGCAGUAACUGACGCUGAGGAGCGAAAGCGUGGGGAGCAAACAGG